UUAUCACAGACACAGACCCGAUGAAAGAUAUGUUCUUUCUGAAGAAAAUGUAGUUUUGUCUGAGCUCGCUUUAAGUAUGCCGUGGACAUAGUUACACCAAAUUCAGAGGGUGUUAAGUGUUUUAAGGGAGAUGCUAAAAUACCUCUAUUUGCAGUUGAACACAAGUUCUCUAUUUGGUAAAAACAAAAAGUGAGGAAAAGAGAAAAUGGAUCCCCAAAGUAGUCUGGACGGGAGCGGUCUGCCUUGUACGACACGGGUCGUGAUCGGGAAAGGACAGAAGAGAGGCAGUUGGCCUUGGCCUGGUCUUCCAAAUCUGGGAGUCGAACACAGCUGGACCAGGAUCCAAUUUUUUUGUCAAUG